UACAGAGGGUGCAAACGUUGCUCGGAAUCAUUGGGCGUAAAGCGCACGUAGGCGGUCUGAUAAGUCGGAUGUGAAAUCCCCAGGCUCAACCUGGGAACUGCAUUUGAAACUCCCUUUCUUGAGUACCGGAGAGGAAAGUGGAAUUCCUGGUGUAGAGGUGAAAUUCGUAGAUAUCAGGAGGAACACCAGUGGCGAAGGCGGCUUUCUGGACGGUAACUGACGCUGAGACGCGAAAGCGUGGGGAGCAAACAGG
rnacentral:rRNA from 1 species